rnacentral:rRNA from 1 species
CAGCAGCCGCGGGAAUACAGAGGGUGCGAGCGUUAAUCGGAUUUACUGGGCGUAAAGCGUGCGUAGGCGGCUUUUUAAGUCGGAUGUGAAAUCCCUGAGCUUAACUUAGGAAUUGCAUUCGAUACUGGGAAGCUAGAGUAUGGGAGAGGAUGGUAGAAUUCCAGGUGUAGCGGUGAAAUGCGUAGAGAUCUGGAGGAAUACCGAUGGCGAAGGCAGCCAUCUGGCCUAAUACUGACGCUGAGGUACGAAAGCAUGGGGAGCAAACAGGAUUAGAUACCCCGGUAGUCCCUGUCUUUUAUAC